rnacentral:lncRNA from 1 species
AAGAGACCAUCCAUUCACCACUCACACCUUGGUGCCGCAUAUUUGCAAGGAAGGAGGAUUGCUUAGAGUUGUGCUAGUCAUUCAAUUUGGAUUGCUGGAGCAUUCUAGGUGUAUUCUACUUUGGUUUUCAAUAUUUAAUUUCAAUUGUUUCUGUUUAAUUGCAAGUAUGAGGAACUAAACCUCUUUUGGCUAGAGGAGAAUUCGAAACCAUGAAUAUAUUUGCAAUAUGAAUUGAUUUCUUCCAAUUGUGAUUUGAUAAGUUGUGAUUGCAAUUCAAUUAUCUAUUUUAUUCAUAACGGAUUUGUGUAUGUUUAUUAAGGAUGCAUACUUAGUUUUCAUGCAUGAAUUUGAUGCUAGGAUAUAAAUAAGUUUCACCUAAUCGUUACAAGUUUAUAUUCCUGAAUGGUGAAGGUUGCUUGUCACAAUCGCGUUAAUUGAAUUCUUGGCAAACGUAUCAUGCAUUCAUAGUUACAAUUGCCUCGUCAACGCUUAUGAUUUUCAUGGAACUUAAUGAUCUUUAAUUGUAUCUCUAUUAUGCAUUCAUAUAGGGGACUUUUAGAGAAUGAUUUGGGUUGUUGCAUGCAUUCAUCCAAUUCAAUGAGUAUAGGGGACUUUUAGAGAAUGAUUUGGGUUGUUGCAUGCAUUCAUCCAAUUCAAUGAGUAAAGGAAAAUCUGAGGGUUAAUUUGUGCAUCACGGUUAAUCUGGGGUGUUGAGCAUCAUAGUUUAUUGAAAAGCAAUUGGAGAUUGAUUUGUAUGCAAGUGUGUCAUGUGUGGAGAAAGACCUUCUAGCUAGCUCAUCAUCCAUCCAAAACAACCAAUUUCGUGCAAAUCUGUUUAGUUCUAGUUUCUGUUUUGUUUUACUUUAUUUCCGUCCAAAACCCAAUCCCCCUUUACUUUAGUGUGUCUAAUUAGUUAGAAUCGGUUUUAGUUUGUGUUUUUAAGUGUUUUGAGUUUAUAGAGUCUAGUUAAGUGUUUUUAAGUUUCUUUUUGUAAGUCGGUUUAGUUUAGAUUAGCAAUCCCUCCUAAUCCCCGGUCCAGAACGAUCCCUACUUAUACAGAUACUACAAUUAUCAAAAGAGGGUUUAAUUUGAGUGCUUAACUCUCAUCGCAUCAAAUUUUGGCGUCGUUGCCGGGGAUUAGCAACUUUGCUAAUCCCCCGUUGUUUCUUUUUUAUGUCUUUUUUUUUAGUUACUGACUUUGUUUCUUUUUGUGUCUUUUAUUUUUACUUAUGAUAUUUGCUUUAGUUUUGUUUCCUUGAUUUCAAGUACUAGAGAAGCAAGACAUGGAUUUUGCUACCAUUCAAGCUCAAUUGGCGAAACUUACUUCUCAAUUGUCACAAGAUGCCGAAAGGGCCACAAUGCAAAGUGUCCCUACAGAUGGUGUGUCUUAUGGGCAAGGAUAUCCAACUCAUCAAUGUUCUCAAUUAGCUGCAAAUGAAGAUGCUUGGGGUUAUUAAGGUCAUAGCCAAUCAGGGGACAACAUGUUUUCCAACGCUUACAAUUCAAAUUGGAAAGAUUAUUCAGAUUUCAUGUGGGGAGAACCUCAACAAUUCCAACAAGAUGGGUAUUGGCAGCAAGAAGGGGAAUUCUAUUCAAGACCUAUGCAGCCACCAUAACAAUCUGCCCAAUUCAAUUCAGGUACGUCUUUGGAUAAUGAUAUGUUUAAUAAGUGACUCACCUCUUUGAACCAGGAAGUAGAAAAUGGAAACAAAGAGAUGCAAAAUCAAGCCAAGAAGACGGGAGAAUUGGAUAAGCAAAUUGGGCAGAUUAUGGAGUUCAUGGCAUAAAUUCAAAAGCAAAGUGAACUCUCCAACUCAACUAUUGAAAAUUUGAAGGAAGAUUUUGAAAUCCAUGAUGUUAUCACUUUGGGAAGUGCUACGGAGGUUGGAGGUGAACCCAAGACAUCCAAACCAAGCCAAAACAUGGAUAAAUAGUUGCUGCUCGAAGAAGAGGGGAAUAACAGGGCCACGGCAAGGGAAGAACCACCCUUGCCGCAGCCCCAUAUGCCCUCUAUGCCGUCCACUACAACCAAGGUAAGCCUAAAUUCAAUUUUUCCUGACCCCGUUUCACCAAAUAUCCUUAUUCCUUGCAGGAUCAUGCAAUCCAAGGAAGAAGAGGGUGAGAAAGGCAUCUUUGAAACCUUUUCAAAGACUCAAGAGCAAGAAGUGGAUGGGGAAUGUCUAGAAUUCAUCAAAGAAGAUACACUUGAGACGAAAAUUCCCAAAUAGGUUGGAUUUUAUGACACGGGACAAGUCAUAACUCUCAAAACACCAAAUCUAGCCAAGUCCCAUAUCCCUGCAAUCUUCAAAGAUGUGGCGUUUGUAAUUAAGUUUGUGUUGGAGCAAGCAAGUAAGCCAUCUUCUCCACCUUUGAUUUUAUUAUAUACUAACUUGCUGAUUUUGAUGAUUCAGGCACCUACACUAGAAUUUAAACCAUUGCCGGAUCACGUCAAGUAUCACCGUCCAUUCAAGGAUCAAUUCCAUGCUAUGGACCCUAUCCAAGUUUAGAAGGAAGUUUCGUCCGGCUGGAAGACGUUAAAGCAAGCGCUUCUUGGGAGGCAACCCAUGUAUUCAAAUAAGGAAGAUUUUUGAAUUGCUCCACAAUCAGUGUUGCGUUUCUAAAAACCUUCCCUUUUUCGCAGUUUUAUUUUGCCAUGAUUAUCAUUUUUAUUUGUUGCUUGUUUAAUUGUUUUUGGUGUGGGUUUAUUUUUGAAACACUGACAAUUAUGCAAGGUACUUUUAUAUUCAUAAAAAAGAAAGGAACAUUAAGCAGAUAAAUACAAAAGGGAGCCUUCACAAAGGCUGCUUAGGAGAAGUCUCAGCAGUCGGCGGAGCCCCAGAAGGAGGAGGCAUCGGAGGUUGAUCAUUUGGAGCUUUAUUACGCGGUAUAGCCCCAGAAGACGAAGGCAAAUCCUGUUGGAACAAACCCACAAACCUCUGAUGAUCAAGUAAAAUCUAACCAUCAGAUUCCUGCAUCUGGUCAAUCUUCCUCUUCAUGUUUGUAGCAUAAUUAUGGGCGAGCCUGUGCAGCUAUUUAUUCUCAUGCUUAAGCCCUCUAAUCUCCUGCUUGAGACUCAUCACUUCAGCCGCCAAUGAUUUAACUUGACGGGUUCGGGUAAAUAGGCAUUGGGCCAUAUUAGACACGGAACCUGCACACUGCACACUAAGAGCUAAAGAAUCCUUAACAAUCAACUCAUUAGACCGUUUGGUAAGUAGUCUGUUAUCUUUGGGAGUGACAAGGUUCCUGGCCACCACCGCAGUUGUCAUAUCAUUCUUCAUCACCGAAUCCCCAACGGUAAGGGGACCAAUAAGAGAUAUGAAGGAUGGGCGCCAUAUGUUGUCUGGAAAAGGCGGGACUGCCUCUUCACGAAGGUUUAAGUCAAAACGACUGUCGGAGGGGCCAGACAUUUUCAGAGGUGUUAAAGAAAUAAGAGGUUGGACAAGUCAAGAUCGUAGAAGUGCAAGAAGGGAGUUUUUACAGGCAGAAAUUCAAGUGUGCUUUAAACGUCCUGCGUACCUCUAUAAAAAUCAUCACUCGAUGGGAUUUCAGAGAUCGAAGAGGCGAGCUCAGAAAUCGAAGAGGCCAACUCAAAAAUCAAAGAGGCGCUAGCUUUCUCAAAAGCUAGGCUUGCUCAGAAACCACGACCAAUCUUCUUUUCCAGAUUUGUCCGCACUUGUCACAUGCAACCUCUGCACUUGAUGGGAUUUCAGAGAUCGAAGAGGCAAGCUCAAAAAUUGGAGAAGCAUCUGAUUUUCCAGACGUGUCAGCAUUUGUCACAUGCAGAGUCAGCUUUGCCGAAUUCAAAGGCAGUUUGUCGAAGCGCUUUUCCAGACAUGUCAGCAUCUGUCACAUGCAGAGUCAGCUUUGCAGAAAUCACAGGCAUUUUGUCGAAGCUCCGAUUCCAGAUAUCGAAGAGGCACUUGUUUUUCCAGAAUUGUCAGCACCUGUCACAUGCACACUCAGCCUUGCGGAAAUUACGGGCAAUCUGUUGAAGAUCUCUUGUGAAGUAGAAAGCAAGUGAAGUUUACUAUUAAAUCAUCCAACGGUUGCUGACAAAAGUGAAAGAAUAGUACCGGUUAUUAAUUCCUAUAAAUAUCACCCCUCACCCUCCAUUGCAAGGCAGACAUACAUAACCUUUCUUAUUCUCCGAGAAUGCCUUUCCAAGAAACCCUCUCGAGUCACUAAGUGUUCCUUAUUCCUUGGGGUACCUCUGCAAAAAAACUCAUCCAAAGCAAAAGUAUUUCAUAUCAUGAAGGUUGAAAGCAAGAGUAUCUCAUAUCAUGCUUUCUCCCUGUCCUUCUCCUUGUCGUUGUUUUGGGACAAGGAGAAAGAAAGCAAUCAGCCAGUACUUGGUAUCAAUCUUCCGAUCUGGAACCGACUACCUGGAACCCCUUCCUGAUUGCUUACCUAGCCUUGCUCUCGAGUACUCAUCUUCAUCAUUUUAUGCUUCCUCUUCAUCUACCACAUCUGCUUGGGGAACAGAUAAGGGAAGUGAAAAUGAUACCUCGAAACAUGUGGAGACAAUUUGCCAAUUCAUCCUCAGCUAGGGAUAAGGAGAAAGAAAGCAAGAAGUGGGCACUUGGAAAGGUUGAAGAAAGAAACAGACCAACACCUUUACCUCGUGCCUGCUUGCUGUGCAGAAGAAAUAAGCAGAGAAGAAUACAAACUGCACAAUCAAAUCAACCCAGCAGAAGGAGUCUGAUUUGAAACCAAGGAACUCUGAUAUUCCUCGCUCAGAAUUCCAAACCAGUUCGAGAUCAAAGCUGUGGAAAGUCAACAAGAUCAUCUAUCUCCAAAACUAGAUUUGCGUUCUUAAACUCUACUCUGUCUGUUUUUUGUUUACUUUGCUAUACUUGUCAUGUUUAUUCGUUCUUUGUUUAUUUGCUUGUUUUUGUGUGAGUUUAUGCUUGAAACAUUGAGGACAAUGUUUGAUUUAAGUGUGGGGGGGGGGGGGGGUAACCAUUGUUUUGCAUGAAAUUCGUAGGAGUUUAUCACCCAUUACUUCUAAUGUUGUUCCUUGCUGUUUUAAGUGUUUUUAAGCUGUUUUUGAGUUAUUUUGCAUGAAAUUCGUAGGAGUUUAUCACCCAUUACUUCUAGUGUUGUUCCUUGCUGUUUUAAGUGUUUUUAAGCUGUUUUGGAAUGUUUCAGUGUGUUUUGACAUAAAAAUCCGAAAAUCUCAUAAAAAUUUGAAAAAUUAUUUUGAAAAACCCAAAAACAGUUGUUUUUGUAUGUUUAUUUGUGUCUUAGGGUACCUUCCAACACAAUGAUGAGGAUUUGGUUUUUAAUUACAUGACUGUUAAAGAGAGUUAUAAACAUGGAUGAAAAUUUGAUUUACUCUUUGGUGUAUGCUUGGUUGUGGUUAUAAUUUAUGAAUUCACAUGCAAUCAUAAAGGAAAAAUCAAUUUUUGUAACAUGCUUGAAGGAAGGAACUCAAAUGAAUGCUACAACCUUGUGAGACUUGAGCCUAAACGUUUAUUUGGAGAGUUAAUAAUCUGUGCACUAUUGUUUUCUAAAGUCGUUGCAUGAUCUCAUUAUUCUUUGCUUGGUUGAUACUUAGAAGGCGUUUCAUCAUUUAGUUCCAAAUGCUAGAACUCAUGCCUAUUUCAUUCAAAGCAUGCUAUUGAUUUGCAUAACACAUAUUCAAGAUGAAGUUGUGCAGUGACCACCACAGCCAAAUUGUCAUGCCCUAUUUCAUUAUGUGUUUAAGUUUAACCCCGUUGAGCCUUUUGUAGCCUAUGUUCUUUGUUAACCCACACUAUCCUCACCUAGCCUAGAUUAGGACCAUCCAUACCCUUGUUCUUGAAGCAUAGUAAAACAUAAUUUAGAAGGAAUUCCUUUUGUUGAACUUUUGCAGAAAAACAAGUGUGGGGGAAGUGAUUCUUGUGUGUGUGUGUGUGUGCGCCAAAGUCCUUAAUAAGGCACGGAUAGAAAAGAAAAAGAAAAAAAGAAACAUUCGUGGAAAAUAGAAUGAAAAGAAGAAAAGUUGUGAAAAGAGUGAAAAAGAGUUGAAAAAUAUGUGAAAAAAAACUCUAAAGUGUUGUUUGUUGAAGAAAGGGUCCAAAACAUUGAAUUCGGCCCUAAGUGUUGCUUGAAUCUUCCCUUUGUGAAAAGUUAAUUUCUGCAUUAUUAAGUGAAUUCCAAGUGUCUAUUUCAUUACUUUGCUUGCUAUUGCUUUCAGAACGUUUGUUAUCCUUAUCCUUUCUUUGUUAGCCAUUACCCUUAAACCCCGUUACAACCCUUAACUUUAUCUUGAGUGUUAUGCGUUUCAAUAUGUGGAGUUUGGAAUUGCUUUGAGCAUAUGGUGUCACUGGUUCUUGCAUCUAAGUAGUAGCAUUCCAUUCAUGAGAUCAUAUCUAAAAUGCUCAAUAACUCCAAAAAAUUGCCCUCUUUGUUAUAUAUAUAUGUGAGUGUUCGUGUUCAUGUUUACAUAAAUCUUCUCACAUAUAACUAGUGUAGGGUGUGUAGUCAGAAAAUGUGUGUGAAAAUAGAAAGUAUCUUGUAAGGAAUUGAGUAAAUUCUCUAAGGCAUGUUACUACAUUCAAAGCAUCAUUUUAAUUGGUUAAUUGUGAACUAGUAAGUGGUGACUAUAAGUAUGUGCUCAAGUGUAAGGAUGACCAAAAUCUGUGGGAAUGAUGAUUUUUAACAUGUUAUGUUUCAUUAAAAAUCCCUAAGGCAAUUGUUGGAAGGUCUAGGUUGUGUUUUGUUUGGUUUUGUUUUGUUUGUUUUGUUUUGCUCGAGGACUAGCAAAAGCUAAGUGUGGGGGAAUUUGAUAAGAGCAUAUUUAUGAGACUUAGUUAGCUUGUUUCUUGGCAUUUAUGUUGUUAGUUCGUAGUUAUUUUAGUAUUUUAAGCUAUUUUCGUGUGUUUGUAGGUCCAAAGGGUUAAUGUGGCAAAGAAGUGCAUUUUGGAGCAUUUUUGGGCAUGGAAUGGAUAGCAUAUGCUUGGAGCAAAAGGAAUGGACAAAAUUUAAAGUUUGUGCAUCAUCCUCUCCCUAUAAAUAACCAUUUAGCACACUCAUUUCACCCAACACAUCCAUUCACCUACCACUACAUCCACUCAUUUCACCCAACACAUCCAUUCUCCAAACAUUCAUCCACUACACCCAUUACAUCCACUCCUUACCAAACAUCCACCCACUACACCCAUUACAUCCAUCCACUACACCCAUUACAUCCACUCAUUACCAAACACUCAUCCACUACACCCAUUACAUCCACUCAUUACCAAAUAUCCACCCACUACACCCAUUACAUCCACUCAUUACCAAACACUCACCCACUACACCCAUUACAUCCACUCAUUACCAAACAUUAAUCCACUACACCCAUUACAUCCACUCAUUACAACUCCAUACACUCCUCUCCCUAGCCUAUAAAUACAUCCACCCUUCACCAUAAUUUGGGGGGCCAUCAUCCAAAGACACCACAUCAUCUACACAACUCUCCACCCUUCACCAUAACUCACCUAUAUCCAUCCACCAGCAUAAGAGACCAUCCAUUCACCACUCACACCUUGGUGCCGCAUAUUUGCAAGGAAGGAGGAUUGCUUGGAGUUGUGCUAGUCAUUCAAUUUAGAUUGCUGGAGCAUUCUAGGUGUAUUUUACUUUGGUUUUCAAUGUUUAAUUUCAAUUGUUUCUGUUUAAUUGCAAGUAUGAGGAACUAAACCUCUUUUGGCUAGAGGAGAAUUCGAAAC